UACGUAGGGUGCGAGCGUUGUCCGGAAUUAUUGGGCGUAAAGAGCUCGUAGGCGGCUUGUCGCGUCGGAUGUGAAAGCCCGGGGCUUAACUCCGGGUCUGCAUUCGAUACGGGCAGGCUAGAGUUCGGUAGGGGAGAUCGGAAUUCCUGGUGUAGCGGUGAAAUGCGCAGAUAUCGGGAGGAACACCCGUAGCGAAGGCGGUUCUCUGGGCCAAUACUGACGCUGAGGAGCGAAAGCGUGGGGAGCAAACAGG
rnacentral:rRNA from 1 species